ACGCUUUUCGCCAUUUAAAUAUUUAAAGCUUGCAUGCCAGAGGCCAGGCCAUCUACCACCUUUUGUUGGAAAUUUGGAUCCCUUCUGCCGCUGCCUCGGCCUCAGCGCGCUUAUAUUAUUUAAAUAAGCUUAAGGUGUCGCCGCGAAUGGCAUGAUCGUUCAUGUCCUCCACCGGCUGCAUUGCCGCGGCUGCCGCGUUGGAGU
rnacentral:misc_RNA from 1 species